GAUAAGCAGAGAAGGUCCCAAGUGAACAACCCUGUUGUUGUUUCACCUGGGGAGAAGGCCUGUUUGAUGGGAGUCUGGCACUUCCUAAAUCCACCCCAGACAAUAGGUCACAUUCAACUGGGGGGCCCGCCCCGGAGGCUCCCCCAAGGCGGUAGGCCUAAGAGAGGGAGGGUGACUGAGGCAAGUUUCUUGGAGAGCCCCCCUCCUGCCCUGGGGCCGGGGUCACCAGGCCAGAAGGGCCUCUUGGACAAUGGAGCCCAUUGAGGCCCGUGGCUGUACGUGUGUGUAAGGGAGGGGAUCCCUCCGCUACUCUGCUUUGAAGAUGGGGGAGCCAAGAGGAAGAGAGUUUGCUCUGGGUUUCCCAGUAUCAAGAAGAAAAGGGGAAAAAUCUCUAGGAGGCCCCAAGAGAGCCCUGGGGAGGCUUUGGAGGUAAGGAAUAUAAGACUGAUCCAUCAAGAAGAUGCCAAAAGAUGUCGAAUAUCUGUUUUCAGCAAGAUAUUUGACAGAUUCUCUGAUCCAACUUAUUUAUUCUCUAGCACAUCCUCCACAUAUCUGUCAAAGUGAAAUUCUUAAAGCAUGGGUACCAUGGCACUACCAGCUAAAUAAACUCCAGUGCAUCUAGGAUCAAGUCAAAAUCUUUUAUUUGGCCUUUAAAACACUUCAAAGCCUACCUUUUCCAGGUUCAUUCCUGGAAAUUACUUCCUUUUUGUACUCUCCUUUCCAGCCAAAUAGAUCACCUUGCUGCCUCUGGUGUAUAAUUUUUCAUGAGCCACUCAGUUCCUUUGCACAGACUAUCUCCCAUGCCUAGAAGACGUCUUUUUCUUCCUUCUGCCUUUUAGAAUAUCUUCAAAACCCAGUUUAAGUGCCAUUUUUCUUAUCUUAUAUUCCAGCUAUUUGUACUUUGUCCCCUAAAAUCACUCUGUCUUUUACUUAUCUGUGAGCCUGUUGUGUCCUUCCAGUAGAAUAUAAACUCCCUAAGGGUAAAUCACUUUGUUAUUUUUGUUCUCAGAGACAAGCUGAGUUAUUGAACCAUAUUAAAUGCUUGAUAAAA